rnacentral:rRNA from 1 species
GACGAACGCUGGCGGCGUGCCUAAUACAUGCAAGUUGAGCGCUGAAGGUUGGUACUUGUACCAACUGGAUGAGCAGCGAACGGGUGAGUAACGCGUGGGGAAUCUGCCUUUGAGCGGGGGACAACAUUUGGAAACGUAUGCUAAUACCGCAUAAAAACUUUAAACACAAGUUUUAAGUUUGAAAGAUGCAAUUGCAUCACUCAAAGAUGAUCCCGCGUUGUAUUAGCUAGUUGGUGAGGUAAAGGCUCACCAAGGCGAUGAUACAUAGCCGACCUGAGAGGGUGAUCGGCCACAUUGGGACUGAGACACGGCCCAAACUCCUACGGGAGACAGCAGUAGGGAAUCUUCGGCAAUGGACGAAAGUCUGACCGAGCAACGCCGCGUGAGUGAAGAAGGUUUUCGGAUCGUAAAACUCGGUUGGUAGAGAAGAACGUUGGUGAGAGUGGAAAGCUCAUCAAGUGACGGUAACUACCCAGAAAGGGACGGCUAACUACGUG